ACGGUGGAUGCCCUGGCAGUCAGAGGCGAUGAAGGACGUGCUAAUCUGCGAAAAGCGCCGGCGAGGUGAUAUGAACCCUUGACCCGGCGAUGUCCGAAUGGGGAAACCCAGUGUGAUUCGUCACACUAUCGUUAACUGAAUACAUAGGUUAACGAGGCGAACCGGGGGAACUGAAACAUCUAAGUACCCCGAGGAAAAGAAAUCAACCGAGAUUCCCCCAGUAGCGGCGAGCGAACGGGGAGCAGCCCGGAGUCUGAAUCAGCUUGUGUGUUAGUGGAACGGUCUGGAAAGUCCGACGGUACAGGGUGAUAGUCCCGUACACGAAAGCACACUUGCUGUGAACUCGAAGAGUAGGGCGGGACACGUGGUAUCCUGUCUGAAUAUGGGGGGACCAUCCUCCAAGGCUAAAUACUCCUGACUGACCGAUAGUGAACCAGUACCGUGAGGGAAAGGCGAAAAGAACCCCGGCGAGGGGAGUGAAAAAGAACCUGAAACCGUGUACGUACAAGCAGUGGGAGCACCUUCGUGGUGUGACUGCGUACCUUUUGUAUAAUGGGUCAGCGACUUAUAUUCUGUAGCAAGGUUAACCGUAUAGGGGAGCCGAAGGGAAACCGAGUCUUAACUGGGCGUUAAGUUGCAGGGUAUAGACCCGAAACCCGGUGAUCUAGCCAUGGGCAGGUUGAAGGUUGGGUAACACUAACUGGAGGACCGAACCGACUAAUGUUGAAAAAUUAGCGGAUGACCUGUGGCUGGGGGUGAAAGGCCAAUCAAACCGGGAGAUAGCUGGUUCUCCCCGAAAGCUAUUUAGGUAGCGCCUCGUGAACUCAUCUUCGGGGGUAGAGCACUGUUUCGGCUAGGGGGCCAUCCCGGCUUACCAACCCGAUGCAAACUACGAAUACCGAAGAAUGUUAUCACGGGAGACACACGGCGGGUGCUAACGUCCGUCGUGAAGAGGGAAACAACCCAGACCGCCAGCUAAGGUCCCAAAGUCAUGGUUAAGUGGGAAACGAUGUGGGAAGGCACAGACAGCCAGGAUGUUGGCUUAGAAGCAGCCAUCAUUUAAAGAAAGCGUAAUAGCUCACUGGUCGAGUCGGCCUGCGCGGAAGAUGUAACGGGGCUAAACCAUGCACCGAAGCUGCGGCAGCGACACUAUGUGUUGUUGGGUAGGGGAGCGUUCUGUAAGCCGUUGAAGGUGUGCUGUGAGGCAUGCUGGAGGUAUCAGAAGUGCGAAUGCUGACAUAAGUAACGAUAAAGCGGGUGAAAAGCCCGCUCGCCGGAAGACCAAGGGUUCCUGUCCAACGUUAAUCGGGGCAGGGUGAGUCGACCCCUAAGGCGAGGCCGAAAGGCGUAGUCGAUGGGAAACAGGUUAAUAUUCCUGUACUUGGUGUUACUGCGAAGGGGGGACGGAGAAGGCUAUGUCAGCCGGGCGACGGUUGUCCCGGUUUAAGCAUGUAGGCGGAGGUUCCAGGUAAAUCCGGUACCUUAUUAACGCUGAGGUGUGAUGACGAGGCACUACGGUGCUGAAGUGAUAAAUGCCCUGCUUCCAGGAAAAGCCUCUAAGCAUCAGGUAACACGAAAUCGUACCCCAAACCGACACAGGUGGUCAGGUAGAGAAUACCAAGGCGCUUGAGAGAACUCGGGUGAAGGAACUAGGCAAAAUGGUGCCGUAACUUCGGGAGAAGGCACGCUGAUGUGUAGGUGAAGUCCCUGCGGACGGAGCUGAAAUCAGUCGAAGAUACCAGCUGGCUGCAACUGUUUAUUAAAAACACAGCACUGUGCAAACACGAAAGUGGACGUAUACGGUGUGACGCCUGCCCGGUGCCGGAAGGUUAAUUGAUGGGGUUAGCUGUAAGGCGAAGCUCUUGAUCGAAGCCCCGGUAAACGGCGGCCGUAACUAUAACGGUCCUAAGGUAGCGAAAUUCCUUGUCGGGUAAGUUCCGACCUGCACGAAUGGCGUAAUGAUGGCCAGGCUGUCUCCACCCGAGACUCAGUGAAAUUGAACUCGCUGUGAAGAUGCAGUGUACCCGCGGCAAGACGGAAAGACCCCGUGAACCUUUACUAUAGCUUGACACUGAACACUGGUCCUUGAUGUGUAGGAUAGGUGGGAGGCUUUGAAGCGUGGACGCCAGUCUGCGUGGAGCCGCCCUUGAAAUACCACCCUUUAAUGGCUGGUGUUCUAACGUAGACCCGUAAUCCGGGUUGCGGACAGUGUCUGGUGGGUAGUUUGACUGGGGCGGUCUCCUCCCAAAGAGUAACGGAGGAGCACGAAGGUUGGCUAAUCCUGGUCGGACAUCAGGAGGUUAGUGCAAUGGCAUAAGCCAGCUUGACUGCGAGCGUGACGGCGCGAGCAGGUGCGAAAGCAGGUCAUAGUGAUCCGGUGGUUCUGAAUGGAAGGGCCAUCGCUCAACGGAUAAAAGGUACUCCGGGGAUAACAGGCUGAUACCGCCCAAGAGUUCAUAUCGACGGCGGUGUUUGGCACCUCGAUGUCGGCUCAUCACAUCCUGGGGCUGAAGUAGGUCCCAAGGGUAUGGCUGUUCGCCAUUUAAAGUGGUACGCGAGCUGGGUUUAGAACGUCGUGAGACAGUUCGGUCCCUAUCUGCCGUGGGCGCUGGAGAAUUGAGGGGGGCUGCUCCUAGUACGAGAGGACCGGAGUGGACGCAUCACUGGUGUUCGGGUUGUCAUGCCAAUGGCACUGCCCGGUAGCUAAAUGCGGAAGAGAUAAGUGCUGAAAGCAUCUAAGCACGAAACUUGCCCCGAGAUGAGUUCUCCCUGAGACUUUAAGUCUCCUGAAGGAACGUUGAAGACGACGACGUUGAUAGGUCGGGUGUGUAAGCGCAGCGAUGCGUUGAGCUAACCGAUACUAAUGAACCGUGAGGCUUAACCUU
rnacentral:rRNA from 1 species